rnacentral:rRNA from 1 species
GACGAACGCUGGCAGCAUGCCUAACACAUGCAAGUCGAACGAGAUCUUCGGGUCUAGUGGCGCACGGGUGCGUAACGCGUGGGAAUCUGCCCUUUGGUUCGGAAUAACAGUUGGAAACGACUGCUAAUACCGGAUGAUGACGAAAGUCCAAAGAUUUAUCGCCAGAGGAUGAGCCCGCGUAGGAUUAGCUAGUUGGUGUGGUAAAGGCGCACCAAGGCGACGAUCCUUAGCUGGUCUGAGAGGAUGAUCAGCCACACUGGGACUGAGACACGGCCCAGACUCCUACGGGAGGCAGCAGUGGGGAAUAUUGGACAAUGGGCGAAAGCCUGAUCCAGCAAUGCCGCGUGAGUGAUGAAGGCCUUAGGGUUGUAAAGCUCUUUUACCCGGGAUGAUAAUGACAGUACCGGGAGAAUAAGCUCCGGCUAACUCCGUGCCAGCCGCCGCGGUAA